rnacentral:rRNA from 1 species
GACGAACGCUGGCGGCGUGCUUAACACAUGCAAGUCGAACGGUAAGGCCCUUCGGGGUACACGAGUGGCGAACGGGUGAGUAACACGUGGGUGAUCUGCCCUGCACUUCGGGAUAAGCCUGGGAAACUGGGUCUAAUACCGGAUAGGACCACUGCCUGCAUGGGGGGUGGUGGAAAGCUUUUGCGGUGUGGGAUGGGCCCGCGGCCUAUCAGCUUGUUGGUGGGGUGAUGGCCUACCAAGGCGACGACGGGUAGCCGGCCUGAGAGGGUGACCGGCCACACUGGGACUGAGAUACGGCCCAGACUCCUACGGGAGGCAGCAGUGGGGAGUAUUGCUCAAUGGGCGCAAGCCUGAUGCAGCGACGCCGCGUGAGGGAUGACGGCCUUCGGGUUGUAAACCUCUUUCAGCACCGACGAAGCGCAAGUGACGGUAGGUGCAGAAGAAGGACCGGCCAACUACGUGCCAGCAGCCGCUGUAA